rnacentral:rRNA from 1 species
UACGUAGGUGGCGAGCGUUGUCCGGAUUUAUUGGGCGUAAAGCGCGCGCAGGUGGUCCGUUAAGUCCUGUGUGAAAUCUCCCGGCUCACCCGGGAGGGGGCGCGGGAUACUGGGGGACUGGAGGCAGGCAGAGGCCGGUGGAAUUCCCGGUGUAGUGGUGAAAUGCGUAGAGAUCGGGAGGAACACCAGUGGCGAAGGCGGCCACCUGGACGGUAACUGACGCUGAGACGCGAAAGCGUGGUGAGCAAACAGG